rnacentral:lncRNA from 1 species
UUAGCACCCAAAGUGUCCUAGGUACUCCUAGGGAGCCCUUUUUGUGUGCAUAUGUACUUUGGUAUAAAGUGAUGUUUACAAACAAAUAGAAUGGAGGGAUGAGAAAAGAAUUCAUUAAUUAUAUUUUUGUGUUUGACAAGACCUUCGGUCUUGUGCCUACGUACCAACAUAAAAAUGAGGGAUCAUGAAUGGAGGGAUGAGAAAAGAAUUCAUUAAUUAUAUUUUUGUGUUUGACAAGACCUUCGGUCUUGUGCCUACGUACCAACAUAAAAAUGAGGGAUCAAAAC